AGGGUUUGAUCAUGGCUCAGAACGUACGCUGGCGGCACGCCUAACACAUGCAAGUCGAACGAAGUAGCAAUACUUAGUGGCAGACGGGUGAGUAACAUGUGGGUAUCUGCCCUUUGGCCUGGAAUAACACGAGGAAACUUGUGCUAAUACCGGAUAAGUCUUUAUAGAGAAAGCUUUAUGCACCAUUGGAUGAGCCCGCACUUGAUUAGUUUGUUGGUGGGGUAAUGGCCUACCAAGACUUUGAUCAAUAGCUGAUUUGAGAGGAUGAUCAGCCACAUUGGGACUGAGACACGGCCCAAACUCCUACGGGAGGCAGCAGUGGGGAAUCUUGCACAAUGGAGGAAACUCUGAUGCAGCGAUGCCGCGUGAGUGAAGAAGGCCCUUGGGUUGUAAAGCUCUUUCGUCGGGGAAGAAAAUGACUGUACCCGAAUAAGAAGGUCCGGCUAACUUCGUGCCAGCAGCCGCGGUAAUACGAAGGGACCUAGCGUAGUUCGGAAUUACUGGGCUUAAAGAGUUCGUAGGUGGUUGAAAAAGUUGGUGGUGAAAUCCCAGAGCUUAACUCUGGAACUGCCAUCAAAACUUUUCAGCUAGAGUUUGAUAGAGGAAAGCAGAAUUUCUAGUGUAGAGGUGAAAUUCGUAGAUAUUAGAAAGAAUACCAAUUGCGAAGGCAGCUUUCUGGAUCAUUACUGACACUGAGGAACGAAAGCAUGGGUAGCGAAGAGGAUUAGAUACCCUCGUAGUCCAUGCCGUAAACGAUGUGUGUUAGACGUUGGAAAUUUAUUUUCAGUGUCGCAGCGAAAGCGAUAAACACACCGCCUGGGGAGUACGACCGCAAGGUUAAAACUCAAAUGAAUUGACGGGGACCCGCACAAGUAGUGGAGCAUGUGGUUUAAUUCGAAGAUACGCGCAGAACCUUACCAACACUUGACAUGUUCGUCGCGACUUUAAGAGAUUAAAGUUUUCGGUUCGGCCGGACGAAACACAGGUGCUGCAUGGCUGUCGUCAGCUCGUGUCGUGAGAUGUUGGGUUAAGUCCCGCAACGAGCGCAACCCUCACUUUUAGUUGCCAUCAUUUAGUUGGGCACUCUGAAAGAACUGCCAGUGAUAAGCUGGAGGAAGGUGGGGAUGACGUCAAGUCCUCAUGGCCCUUACGUGUUGGGCUACACACGUGCUACAAUGGUAUCUACAACAGGAAGCGAAACAGCGAUGUUAAGCAAAUCCUUAAAAGAUACCUCAGUUCGGAUUGCACUCUGCAACUCGAGUGCAUGAAGCUGGAAUUACUAGUAAUCGUGGAUCAGCGUGCCACGGUGAAUGCGUUCCCGGGUCUUGUACACACCGCCCGUCACACCAUGGGAGUUGGUUCUACCUUAAGGCAAGGCAUAAAACCCUUGACCACGGUAUAGUCAGCGACUGGGGUGAAGUCGUAACAAGGUAGCCGUA
rnacentral:rRNA from 1 species